rnacentral:misc_RNA from 1 species
GAUGAAGAACGUAGCGAAAUGCGAUACUUGGUGUGAAUUGCAGAAUCCCGUGAACCAUCGAGUCUUUGAACGCAAGUUGCGCCUCAAGCCAUUAGGUUGAGGGCACGUCUGCCUGGGCGUCACAUAUCGUUGCCUGAUGCCAGUUUCCUCGUGAUGGGUGACUGUGCAGGGCGAAUGAUGGCUUCCCGUGAGCAUUGUUGCCUCAUGGUUGGUUGAAAAUUGAGUCCUUGGUAGGGAGCGCCGUGAUAGAAGGUGGUUGAGUGACGAACGAGACCCAAUCAUGUGAGACCCCUACCGAAUUUGGCCUUCAUGACCCACAUGCGUCUUUGGAACGCUCAUGACGAGACCUCAGGUCAGGCGGGGCUACCCGCUGAGUUUAAGCAUAUCAAUAAGCGGAGGA